UGGGGAAUAUUGCACAAUGGGGGAAACCCUGAUGCAGCGACGCCGCGUGAGCGAAGAAGGCUUUCGAGUCGUAAAGCUCUGUCCUAUGAGAAGAUAAUGACGGUAUCAUAGGAGGAAGCCCUGGCUAAAUACGUGCCAGCAGCCGCGGUAAUACGUAUGGGGCGAGCGUUGUCCGGAUUUAUUGGGCGUAAAGCGAGCGCAGGCGGUUAGAAAAGUCUGAAGUGAAAGGCAGUGGCUCAACCAUUGUAGGCUUUGGAAACUGUUUAACUUGAGUGCAGAAGGGGAGAGUGGAAUUCCAUGUGUAGCGGUGAAAUGCGUAGAUAUAUGGAGGAACACCGGUGGCGAAAGCGGCUCUCUGGUCUGUAACUGACGCUGAGGCUCGAAAGCGUGGGGAGCGAACAGG
rnacentral:rRNA from 1 species